rnacentral:lncRNA from 1 species
CGCUAGGCCCCGCCCACCUGCCGAGCCGACGCUCGGGUCCCUGACGAGACUCACCGGAAAUUCCCGAAGCCCCUCUUUUUUUCCUUCCUUUCCUUUCGCUGCUCUCCCCUUUCCUUUCACCCGGGUUCCCUCAGCCGUGAUUUCCCCCUCCCCCUCCUUCCUUCCCCAUUUGAAACCAAGAUGGAGGCUCGCGGCUGCCGCCGGCGCCCGUGAUCCCGGAGCUCCCGCGGGCCACGGGCCUCCGCCCUCGCGACUGCGUGUCCGGCGCGGCGCGCGUAGCUGCCCGCGUUCCGGCCGGCGCCGCCGAGGCCGUGGCUCCCCGCCUCCGCCCAGCGGUCGCCUCUCGGCUCCCGGGUGGAGUCCUC